AGAGAGAGAGAGAGAGAGAGAGAGAGAGAGAGAGAGGGUGUGUGUGUGUGUGAGAGAGAGAGAGAGGGAGAGAGAUGCAGAGACAGAGACGCA